UUGAAGAGAAUAGAUUGCUGUAUUACAAAAUUACAUUGUUUUGACAAACACUUCGUACGACGAGAAGAAGUAUGGAAAAGAGGGGUUUAAAUGUCAAAUCACUGUCUUAUAUACCCAACGUUCUGUCACAUCACUGAUUGUCUAUUGCACUCACAGUUCAUAUAAAUACUUCACACCGAUGACCGAUAAAUUAAGUAUGGAUCACACGAUGUGAAUCGUUAAAGAGUUGCACCGCAAUGAAAAUGUGAGACGUUCCUUAACA
rnacentral:misc_RNA from 1 species